rnacentral:rRNA from 1 species
UACGGAGGAUGCGAGCGUUAUCCGGAUUUAUUGGGUUUAAAGGGUGCGUAGGCGGGCAUUUAGGCCGGCGGUCAAAUGUCGGGGCUCAACCCCGGCCUGCCGUCGGAACUGGGUGCCUUGAGUGGGCGAGAAGUAUGCGGAAUGCGUGGUGUAGCGGUGAAAUGCAUAGAUAUCACGCAGAACCCCGAUUGCGAAGGCAGCAUACCGGCGCCCUACUGACGCUGAGGCACGAAAGUGCGGGUAUCGAACAGG